rfam:Ananas comosus cultivar MD2 ACMD2_Scaffold_700, whole genome shotgun sequence.
UAACCGGCACUUUUGAGUGCCACAAAAUUGUGCCGAGAAAAAUUUUU